rnacentral:lncRNA from 1 species
GGGAGCAUAAACAAUCCAAGUCCUGGAAUAAUAACAGAACUCAAACUAAGAAACAUUUCCAAAAGAGUUAUUAUUCCAAACCAAAAUUUUUCUCUCACACUCAACAACACAGUAAGCAUUUGUGGACUAACAAGCGUGGACCCAGAAGAUGGGUACCAAAAGCUGAAAUUAUGUAUCAUUCAGAUUUACCAACUAGGAAAGGAUAUGUCCUACCUAGAGUAUGGAAACAAGUUCUAUGCAAAGGAAGAAGGGCUUAUGUCCUAGACCAAUGGCUGACAAGUUCUCAAGUUAACAAUCAGAACUUGAUAAAUGAAGAGGAAGAAUAUUGGGAUGACUUUAUCAUUAACUGUGAUGAAGACUUCCACCG